GACAGAGGUGCCGAGCGUUAGGCGGAAUCACUGGGCUUAAAGCGUGUGUAGGCGGACUUCUAAGUACCUUGUGAAAUCCCACGGCUCAACCGUGGAACUGCUUGGUAUACUGAUCGUCUUGAGCCAUCUAGGGGCUGUCGGAACAAAUGGUGGAGCGGUGAAAUGCGUAGAUAUCAUUUGGAACGCCAAAGGUGAAAACAGACAGCUGGGGAUGUGCUGACGCUGAGACACGAAAGCCAGGGGAGCGAACGGG
rnacentral:rRNA from 1 species